GAUGAACGCUGGCGGCGUGCCUAAUACAUGCAAGUCGAGCGAACGGACGCGACGCUUGCUUCUCUGAUGUUAGCGGCGGACGGGUGAGUAACACGUGGAUAACCUACCUAUAAGACUGGGAUAACUUCGGGAAACCGGAGCUAAUACCGGAUGAUAUUUUGAACCGCAUGGUUCAAAAGUGAAAGACGGUCUUGCUGUCACUUAUAGAUGGAUCCGCGCUGCAUUAGCUAGUUGGUAAGGUAACGGCUUACCAAGGCAACGAUGCAUAGCCGACCUGAGAGGGUGAUCGGCCACACUGGAACUGUGACACGGUCCAGACUCCUACGGUAGGCAGCAGUAGGGUAUCUUCCGCAAUGGGCGAAAGCCUGACGGAGCAACGCCGCGUGAGUGAUGAAGGUCUUCGGAUCGUAAAACUCUGUUAUUAGGGAAGAACAUAUGUGUAAGUAACUGUGCACAUCUUGACGGUACCUAAUCAGAAAGCCACGGCUAACUACGUG
rnacentral:rRNA from 1 species